rnacentral:rRNA from 1 species
AACAAGGUUUCCGUAGGUGAACCUGCGGAAGGAUCAUUAAACGAUAUUGCGUCUCGCCAUCCCGGUGAACUCUUUAUAUCAACCCACACACUGCGUACCCACCUGUUGCCUCCACCGGUACACAUGUCCGGUGAGAGGGGAGCCCGUCAACACUCUUUGCAUUGCAUUGCAGUCUGUCUGAACUCAGUGAGAGAAAAAACAGUCACAAAACUUUCAGCAACGGAUCUCUUGGUUCUCGCAUCGAUGAAGAACGCAGCGAAAUGCGAUAAGUAGUGUGAAUUGCAGAAUUCAGUGAAUCAUCGAAUCUUUGAACGCACAUUGCGCCUCCCGGCAUUCCGGGAGGCAUGCCUGUCCGAGCACUAACAGGAAAUGCAUUCGGGCCUGCACACUGGCCUGGUGGUGGGGGAUGAGCUCUUGUGUCGUCCGGCACGAGCUCACCCCUGAAAGCCAAUGGUGGGGAGCACCGAGUGCGCUGGUGUGAUAGCAAUGCUUCGCCAGGAGUAUCGGGUUUGCACGCCCCACUGCAACACCAAAAGAAUCGCCCCGCAAGGGCAGAACUUUGAUCUCGGAUCAGGUAGGGAUACCCGCUGAACUUAAGCAUAUCAAUAAGCGGAGGAA